UACAGAGGUCCCAAGCGUUGUUCGGAUUCAUUGGGCGUAAAGGGUGCGUAGGUGGCGCCGUAAGUGGGGUGUGAAAUUUCGGAGCUUAACUCCGAAACUGCAUUCGAUACUGCGGUGCUUGAGGACUGGAGAGGAGACUGGAAUUCAUGGUGUAGCAGUGAAAUGCGUAGAGAUCAUGAGGAAGACCAGUGGCGAAGGCGGGUCUCUGGACAGUUCCUGACGCUGAGGCACGAAGGCCAGGGGAGCAAACGGG
rnacentral:rRNA from 1 species